UACGUAGGGUGCAAGCGUUAAUCGGAAUUACUGGGCGUAAAGCGUGCGUAGGUGGUUUGUUAAGUCUGAUGUGAAAGCCCUGGGCUCAACCUGGGAAUUGCAUUGGAUACUGGCAGGCUAGAGUGCGGUAGAGGAUGGCGGAAUUUCCGGUGUAGCAGUGAAAUGCGUAGAGAUCGGGAGGAACACCUAUAGCGAAGGCAGCUUGCUGGGACGUUACUGACGCUAAGGCGCGAAAGCGUGGGGAGCGAACAGG
rnacentral:rRNA from 1 species